rnacentral:rRNA from 1 species
UACGAAGGGGGCUAGCGUUGUUCGGAUUUACUGGGCGUGAAGCGCGUGUAGGCGGGUAGUUAAGUUGGGGGUGAAAUCCCGAGGCUCAACCUCGGAACUGCCUUCAAAACUGGCGACCUGGACUCAAGUAGAGGCAAGUGGAAUUGCGAGUGUAGAGGUGAAAUUCGUAGAUAUUCACAGGAACACCAGUGGCGAAGGCGACUUGCUGGACUUGUAGUGACGCUGAGACGCGAAAGCGUGGGGAGCAAACAGG